UACGUAGGUGGCAAGCGUUGUCCGGAUUUACUGGGCGUAAAGAGCGCGCAGGCGGUCGUUCAAGUCGAGUGUGAAAGCCCCCGGCUCAACUGGGGAGGGUCACUCGAUACUGAUCGACUCGAAGGCAGAAGAGGGAAGCGGAAUUCCCGGUGUAGUGGUGAAAUGCGUAGAUAUCUGGAGGAACACCGGUGGCGAAAGCGCGAGACUGGGCCAUAACUGACGCUGAGGAACGAAAGCCAGGGGAGCAAAAGGG
rnacentral:rRNA from 1 species